GCCGCUCCCUGGACGGUCGCAGUUUCGUGCAAGCGGAGCUGAGGAAAGUCCGGACACCAUAGGGCAACGCGCCUUGCGAAAGUGAGGGACGGGAACCGCGAGGAACCCGGACGGAAAGUGCAACAGAAAGUAAACCGCCGAUGGUCCGCAAGGACACAGGUAAGGGUGAAACGGUGGAGUAAGAGCCCACCGCGUUUUGGAGCAAUCCAAACGGCACGGUAAACCCCGCGUGGUGCAAGACAGAACAGGGAAAGAGCUGCCCGCUCGUUCAUUCCCGGGUAUUAGUCGCACUCUGCGCAAGCAGGGCGCUCCGCCUCGGCGGGGUUGAGAGAAAUGGCCGUCCAGUCCUGCAAGGGAUGGACAAAAUCCGGCUUACAAGGGAGCGGCACUC
rnacentral:RNase_P_RNA from 1 species